UAAGGAAUAUUGCGCAAUGGGCGAAAGCCUGACGCAGCGACGCCGCGUGGGGGAUGAAGGUCUUCGGAUUGUAAACCCCUUUCGGGAGGGAAGAUGGAACGAGCAAUCGUUCGGACGGUACCUCCAGAAGCAGCCACGGCUAACUUCGUGCCAGCAGCCGCGGUAAUACGAAGGUGGCAAGCGUUGUUCGGAUUUACUGGGCGUACAGGGAGCGUAGGCGGUUCGGUAAGCCCUCUGUGAAAUCUCCAGGCUUAACCUGGAACAGUCGGAGGGGACUGCCGGGCUAGAGGACGGGAGAGGAGCGCGGAAUUCCCGGUGUAGCGGUGAAAUGCGUAGAGAUCGGGAGGAAGGCCGGUGGCGAAGGCGGCGCUCUGGAACGUUUCUGACGCUGAGGCUCGAAAGCGUGGGGAGCAAACAGGAUUAGAUACCCCUGUAGUCC
rnacentral:rRNA from 1 species